rnacentral:rRNA from 1 species
UAGGGAAUCUUCCGCAAUGGGCGAAAGCCUGACGGAGCAACGCCGCGUGAGUGAUGAAGGUCUUCGGAUCGUAAAACUCUGUUAUCAGGGAAGAACAAAUGUGUAAGUAACUGUGCACGUCUUGACGGUACCUGAUCAGAAAGCCACGGCUAACUACGUGCCAGCAGCCGCGGUAAUACGUAGGUGGCAAGCGUUAUCCGGAAUUAUUGGGCGUAAAGCGCGCGUAGGCGGUUUUUUAAGUCUGAUGUGAAAGCCCACGGCUCAACCGUGGAGGGUCAUUGGAAACUGGAAAACUUGAGUGCAGAAGAGGAAAGUGGAAUUCCAUGUGUAGCGGUGAAAUGCGCAGAGAUAUGGAGGAACACCAGUGGCGAAGGCGACUUUCUGGUCUGUAACUGACGCUGAUGUGCGAAAGCGUGGGGAUCAAACAGG